CAAUAGUGUAUAUUUAAGUUGUUGCAGUUAAAAAGCUCGUAGUCGGAUUUUGGCUGAGAACGAUCGGUCCGCCGUUAGGUGUGCACUGAUUGGUCUCAGCUUCCUGGUGAGGAGGUGUGCUUCACGGCCACUUAGUCACCGUGGUUACUUUGAAAAAAUUAGAGUGUUCAAAGCGGGCUUACGCUUGAAUAUAUUAGCAUGGAAUAACACCAUAGGACUCCUGUCCUAUUUCGUUGGUCUCGGGACGGGAGUAAUGAUUAAGAGGAACAGUUGGGGGCAUUCGUAUUUCAUUGUCAGAGGUGAAAUUCUUGGAUUUAUGAAAGACGAACUUCUGCGAAAGCAUUUGCCAAGGAUGUUUUCAUUGA
rnacentral:rRNA from 1 species